UUAUUAUUAUUAUAUAAUUCUUUCUCUCUCUAACCACACAUACUCUCUCUCUUAGCUUUGUAAACCUGCCACCGCUACCACCGUUAACACCUCCAUCAAAACCUUAGGUCUACAACCGCCACCACCUCACCGAAACCUUAGAUCCGCCUAACCACCACCCGACUAAAACCCUAAACCAGAAAUAACGAUGGUGGUUCACCACCAUCCACCCACCGGUUCAUCACCAUCUUCACCGCCUUAGUGCCGCCACAACAACCACCCACCACCAUCUUCACCACCUUAGCGCCGCCACAACAACGACGUCGGUUCACCACCAUCCACCCACUAGUUCCCCUCCAUCUGCCUGUCUGUUCUUAACUCAUGAGUAAUGCAACGGCUCCGAUGAACUCCACUUCUACCCAACUCAAGGAUCCAUCUGCUCCGGGAAGAUUCUAGGUUUACCUAGUAGGAGCUUCUAGCUUGUAAACCUAUUCUUACCCCAAGAUGGGUACACAUCUUUGUUUUCUUGUACCUUUAACAAUUGAUUAAAUCAAGAUUU
rnacentral:lncRNA from 1 species